rnacentral:rRNA from 1 species
UACAUAGGUCUCAAGCGUUGUUCGGAUUCAUUGGGCGUAAAGGGUGCGUAGGUGGCGCCGUAAGUCAGGUGUGAAAUUUCGGAGCUUAACUCCGAAACUGCAUUUGAUACUGCGGUGCUUGAGGACUGGAGAGGAGACUGGAAUUCACGGUGUAGCAGUGAAAUGCGUAGAUAUCGUAAGGAAGACCAGUGGCGAAGGCGGGUCUCUGGACAGUUCCUGACGCUGAGGCACGAAGGUCAGGGGAGCAAACGGG